rnacentral:rRNA from 1 species
AGGGUUCGAUUAUGGCUCAGAACGUACGCUGGCGGCACGCCUUAUACAUGCAAGUCGAACGAAGUAGCAAUACUUAGUGGCAGACGGGUGAGUAACAUGUAGGUAUCUUCCCUUUGGUGAGGAAUAACACGAGGAAACUUGUGCUAAUACCUCAUAAGUCUUUACGGAGAAAGCUUUAUGCGCCGAAGGAUGAGCCUGCACUUGAUUAGUUUGUUGGUGGGGUAAUGGCUUACCAAGACUUUGAUCAAUAGCUGAUCUGAGAGGAUGAUCAGCCACAUUGGGACUGAGACACGGCCCAAACUCCUACGGGAGGCAGCAGUAGGGAAUAUUGCACAAUGGAGGAAACUCUGAUGCAGCGAUGCCGCGUGAGUGAAGAAGGCCCUUGGGUUGUAAAGCUCUUUCGUCGGGGAAGAAAAUGACUGUACCCGAAUAAGAAGGUCCGGCUAACUUCGUGCCAGCCGCCGCGGUAAUAC